AGCCGCCGGCCAGUGCCCGGCGGGUGCUGCUGCCCGCACCGGGCAGGUCCCCGCCUGCAGCGCUACUGCAUCGUGCCCGAGGAAGAAGCUCAGUAUGAAGUCAACUUGUUAUGAGUACCCGGCCACUGUACCAGUCAGGAAAGCUGUAUGCUUUUAUCUGCAGAAAUGCAACCGGAACGAAAUGCCAACAGGUACAGCCAGCCAUCGUAAGUGCAGUACAAGGUAAUGUUUCCUCCUCUGCAGAAUAAAAACCCAAAAAAGCAACAAAAAAAACUGAAUUACUGAG